rnacentral:tRNA from 1 species
GCCUUGAUGGUGAAAUGGUAGACACGCGAGACUCAAAAUCUCGUGCUGAAGAGCGUGGAGGUUUCGAGUCCUCUUCAAGGCA